GAAGAGAGCUUGCUCUCUGAUUCAGCGGCGGACGGGUGAGUAAUGCCUAGGAAUCUGCCUGGUAGUGGGGGACAACGUUUCGAAAGGAACGCUAAUACCGCAUACGUCCUACGGGAGAAAGCAGGGGACCUUCGGGCCUUGCGCUAUCAGAUGAGCCUAGGUCGGAUUAGCUAGUUGGUGAGGUAACGGCUCACCAAGGCGACGAUCCGUAACUGGUCUGAGAGGAUGAUCAGUCACACUGGAACUGAGACACGGUCCAGACUCCUACGGGAGGCAGCAGUGGGGAAUAUUGGACAAUGGGCGAAAGCCUGAUCCAGCCAUGCCGCGUGUGUGAAGAAGGUCUUCGGAUUGUAAAGCACUUUAAGUUGGGAGGAAGGGCAUUAACCUAAUACGUUAGUGUUUUGACGUUACCGACAGAAUAAGCACCGGCUAACUUCGUGCCAGCAGCCGCGGUAAUACGAAGGGUGCAAGCGUUAAUCGGAAUUACUGGGCGUAAAGCGCGCGUAGGUGGUUUGUUAAGUUGAAUGUGAAAGCCCCGGGCUCAACCUGGGAACUGCAUCCAAAACUGGCAAGCUAGAGUAUGGCAGAGGGUGGUGGAAU
rnacentral:rRNA from 2 species